rnacentral:lncRNA from 1 species
CGCUAAAAGCUGUUUUAAAUCCUUUAUUAAAGGUGAAGGAAUAAGAAUUCUUAGAAAUACCUCUGAUCCUGACAAUUUUAAUGAAAGAAUAAACUUAUUUACAGAAAAAUUAAUACAAAGAGGUUACAAAAUCGCUUUUGUAAAUAAAAUAUUAAGAAAUAUUUCCCAUACAGAAAGAUUAAACAAAGAAACAAACAAAGAAACAAGCAUAAACAAAAACACAGAUAACUAUAAUAUAUCUUUCAUAACACAAUACCACGCUAAUGCGGAAAAUUUACAAACC